GUCUAUAUUGAUUGUAAAUUUUGAGGGGAAUCAACACCAAUUACUGAGGAAACCUUCUGUAAAACACAUGGAGCACCUCUGGAAGUGGGUGGCCUGCCCACAGCAAGGGAUGGUCAAUCCUCAGCAGAGCCAAGGUUUCCAUCAGCUGAACUCUUGUCUCCCAAACUGAAGUCAUCCGUCGGAUGGCAGAACAAAAGGGAGGAAGAGGAAAGCCCAGUUGCCAGGCAGAGAUGGGAAAAGAGAUCUGUGAGCAGAAAUCCUGGCUGGAAACAUCUGUGGAAGGGAAAACACUCAUCAUCUUGGGUCUCCAGUUAAUGUGGCUUAACCUUGAGCCUCAACAUCUUCCAUGGCAGCAGAGCCAAAUGGUGACAUCCUGUGCUGUUCUCUCCAAGGAAAAAUAUGAGCUCCUCGACCCGGAGGUAACUCCGCAGCGCAGAGAUGGAGGGACGACAACCAGAUCCCUUGUGGUCCCACUGGGUCAGCUCACAGAAUCAAGCACAGAAUGCCAGAUUGGAAGGGACCUCAAGUAUGAAGGGAAGAGACCUCAAGGAUCGUGUUUCCUCAACAAUAAACUCUCCGAACUCCCAAGCAGCGUUUGGCAGCUGAAGUCACGUAGCUGCUGUAGAUCAGCAGAUUCACAGCAAUUGCUUGUGAUGUGA
rnacentral:lncRNA from 1 species